ACUGGCGAACGGGUGAGUAACACGUAGGCACCUGCCUUGAAGAUUGGGAUAACCCCGGGAAACCGGGACUAAUACCGGAUAAGUUCUUAGGAAUAAAGCGGGCUUCGGCUCGCACUUCAAGAUGGGCCUGCGUCCGAUUAGCUUGUUGGUGAGGUAACGGCUUACCAAGGCGAUGAUCGGUAGCUGGUCUGAGAGGAUGAUCAGCCACACUGGGAUUGAGAUACGGCCCAGACUCCUACGGGAGGCAGCAGUAGGGAAUUUUGCGCAAUGGACGAAAGUCUGACGCAGCAACGCCGCGUGAUCGAUGACGCUUUUAGGAGUGUAAAGAUCUGUCGUGAGGGAAGAAAAAUCUGGAUGUAAAUAAUGUUCAGACUUGACUGUACCUUACAAGAAAGCACCGGCUAACUUCGUGCCAGCAGCCGCGGUAAUACGAGGGGUGCUAGCGUUGUCCGGAAUAACUGGGCGUAAAGGGUCCGUAGGCGUUUUGCCAAGUUGAUCGUUAAAUCCACCGGCUCAACCGGUGACCUGCGAUCAAAACUGGCAGAAUAGAAUAUGUGAGGGGAAUGUGGAAUUCCUGGUGUAGCGGUGACAUGCGUAGAUAUCAGAGGAACACCAAUAGCGAAGGCAGCAUUCUGGCACAUAUUGACGCUGACGGACGCCGUGAGGAGCGAGCAGGAUUAGAUACCCUGGUAAGUCA
rnacentral:rRNA from 1 species